rnacentral:rRNA from 1 species
GUGCAAGUCGCACGAGAAAGCCCGGUUCGCCGGGCGAGUAAAGUGGCGCACGGGUGAGUAACGCGUGGAUAAUCUACCUCGUUCUGGGGGAUAACCCAUCGAAAGGUGGGCUAAUACCGCAUAAUCCGGCUUUUUUAUGAAUUGGUCGGCAAAGGUGGCCUCUUGAUCAAAGCUACCGGGGAGAGAUGAGUCCGCGUCCCAUUAGCUAGUUGGUAGGGUAAUGGCCUACCAAGGCGACGAUGGGUAGCUGGUCUGAGAGGACGAUCAGCCACACUGGAACUGGUACACGGUCCAGACUCCUACGGGAGGCAGCAGUGAGGAAUAUUGCGCAAUGGGGGAAACCCUGACGCAGCGAUGCCGCGUGAGUGAAGAAGGCCUUCGGGUCGUAAAGCUCUGUCAAGUGGGAAGAACAGCCUAUGGACGAAUAAUCCAUGGGUCUGACGGUACCACUGAAGGAAGCACCGGCUAACUCCGUGCCAGCCGCCGCGGUAAUACA